rnacentral:rRNA from 1 species
GACUGCCUAUGGUUGUAACUGCUUUACAGAGAAGAACACCCCCACGUGUGGGGGUUGACGGUACUCUGCGAAUAAGGAUCGGCUAACUCCGUGCCAGCAGCCGCGGUAAUACGGAGGAUCAAGCGUUAUCCGGAAUCAUUGGGUUUAAAGGGUCCGUAGGCGGGCAGUUAAGUCAGUGGUGAAAGUCUUCCGCUCAACGGGAGAACUGCCAUUGAUACUGAUUGUCUUGAGUUAUUAUGAAGUGGUUAGAAUGAGUAGUGUAGCGGUGAAAUGCAUAGAUAUUACUCAGAAUACCGAUUGCGAAGGCAGAUCACUAAUAAUAUACUGACGCUGAUGGACGAAAGCGUAGGUAGCGAACAGGAUUAGAUACCCUGGUAGUCUACGCCGUAAACGAUGGUUACUAGCUGUUCGGCCCAAUUGAGGGCUGAGUGGUUAAGCGAAAGUGAUAAGUAACCCACCUGGGGAGUACGUUCGCAAGAAUGAAACUCAAAGGAAUUGACGGGGGCCCGCACAAGCGAAGGUUCCUCGCGUAUCAUCCAAUUAAACCACAUGCUCCACACCAGGGCUUAAAUGUAGUCUGACAGGUCUGGAAACAGACUUUUCUUCGGACAGAUUACAAGGUGCUGCAUGGUUGUCGUCAGCUCGUGCCGUGAGGUGUCAGGUUAAGUCCUAUAACGAGCGCAACCCCUGUGGUUAGUUGCCAGCGAGUAAUGUCGGGAACUCUAGCCAGACUGCCGGUGCAAACCGCGAGGAAGGUGGGGAUGACGUCAAAUCAUCACGGCCCUUACGUCCUGGGCCACACACGUGCUACAAUGGUAGGGACAGAGAGCAGCCACUUCGCGAGAAGGAGCGAAUCUACAAACCCUAUCACAGUUCGGAUCGCAGUCUGCAACUCGACUGCGUGAAGCUGGAAUCGCUAGUAAUCGCAUAUCAGCCAUGAUGCGGUGAAUACGUUCCCGGGCCUUGUACACACCGCCCGUCAAGCCAUGGAAGCCGGGGGUACCUGAAGUCGGUCACCGCAAGGAGCCGCCUAGGGUAAAACUGGUAACUGGGGCUAAGUCGUAACAAGGUAACCAUUCCUGCACGCGGCAUGCCUGGAU